CCUACGGGACGCAGCAGUGAGGAAUAUCGGUCAAUGGCCGGAAGGCUGAACCAGCCAAGCCGCGUGAAGGACGAAGGUGCCAAGCAUUGUAAACUUCUUUUGUCAAGGGACAAAAUCAGGCUCGAGAGCCUGACCGAGGGUACUUGAAGAAAAAGCAUCGGCUAACUCCGUGCCAGCAGCCGCGGUAAUACGGAGGAUGCGAGCGUUAUCCGGAUUUAUUGGGUGUAAAGGGCGUGUAGGCGGGACUGCAAGUCAGAUGGGAAACCCAUGGGGUCAA
rnacentral:rRNA from 1 species